UUUCCGGUUGAUCCUGCCGGAGGCCAUUGCUAUCGGAGUCCGAUUUAGCCAUGCUAGUCGAGCGAGGUUAGCCCUCGCGGCGAACAGCUCAGUAACACGUGGCCAAGCUACCCUGCAGAGGGGGACAGCGUCGGGAAACUGACGGGAAUCCCCCAUACCGGUCUCACGCUGGAAUGCCGAGACCGACAAACGCUCCGGCGCUGCAGGAUGCGGCUGCGGCCGAUUAGGUAGUCGGUGGGGUAACGGCCCACCGAGCCGAUAAUUGGUACGGGGUGUGAGAGCACGAGCCCGGAGACGGAAUCUGAGACAAGAUUCCGGGCCCUACGGGGCGCAGCAGGCGCGAAACCUUUACACUGCACGAAGGUGCGAUAAGGGGACUCCGAGUGCGAGGGCAUACAGUCCUCGCUAUUGUGUACCGUAGGGUGGUACACGACCAAGAGCUGGGCAAGACCGGUGCCAGCCGCCGCGGUAAUACCGGCAGCUCGAGUGAUGGCCGAUUUUAUUGGGCCUAAAGCGUCCGUAGCUGGCCCUGCAAGUCCGUCGGGAAAUCCACUCGCCUAACGAGUGGGCGUCCGGCGGAAACUACAGGGCUUGGGACCGGAAGACUUGAGGGGUACGUCCGGGGUAGGAGUGAAAUCCUGUAAUCCUGGACGGACCGCCGAUGGCGAAAGCACGUCGCGAAAACGGAUCCGACAGUGAGGGACGAAAGCUAGGGUCUCGAACCGGAUUAGAUACCCGGGUAGUCCUAGCCGUAAACACUGCCUGCUAGGUGUGGCACCCACUACGAGUGGGUGCUGUGCCGUAGGGAAGCCGCUAAGCAGGCCGCCUGGGAAGUACGUCCGCAAGGAUGAAACUUAAAGGAAUUGGCGGGGGAGCACUACAACCGGAGGAGCCUGCGGUUUAAUUGGAUUCUUCUUCCGGGA
rnacentral:rRNA from 1 species